CCCACCCUGGAGGAGAGGAGGAGACCAGGUACCCUGCUCAUCUGGCAGGGAGGGAGAGAAUCCAUCAGCAGAGAGACAACACGGCCAGAGACAAUGGUUUACUGAAGAUUACAACGGCCAAAACAGGAAGUAAUGUGGCGACGUUGUCACAGACAGGAAGUAGCUCGAGUGGUAGCUCUCCAGAGAACAACCACUCCCAGAACGGGCUCAGACAACGAUGCGC